GCCCCCGUAGCCCAAAGGCAGAGGCAAACCCCUUAAAAGGGUUACCGGUGUGGGUUCGAAUCCCACCGGGGGCACCC
rnacentral:tRNA from 1 species